rnacentral:misc_RNA from 1 species
GUGAAUCAUCAAAUUUUUGAACGCAAAUUGCACUCUUCUCGGAGAGUAUGCCUGUUUGAGGGCCAUCCUAUAAAAAUCGACAUCGUUGCUGUUUCGCGGUUGCGUUCUUCGGCAAUUUGUUCAUCUUAAAUCCUUUUGAUUUAAUCGAGUUAAAAUUUUCUUUUGGUUCCAUUUGCGUUUCUAAGAUCUAUUUCCUUACACUUUUAAGGUAUCUAUUUUUACUAGACGUGACCAUCAUAACGCA